AGCCAUCCUCCCGCUAUGGCCUCCCAAAGUGUUAGAAUUACAGCUGUAGUGAUCAACUGGUAACACCCACUUUGAAAAUUUUCAAGACCAACAUCAUCUCAGCCAUAAGUGGUGUCUGGAACCCCAGUGAGACCGAGCUGUUCACUCCCCUGAAAAGGGGGCUGAAGCCAGGAAGCCAAGUGGUCUAGUUCAGCAGAUCCCACCCCAUGGAGCCC